rnacentral:rRNA from 1 species
GCCCUAGUAACGGCGAGUGAAGCGGCAACAGCUCAAAUUUGAAAUCUGGCUCUUUUAGAGUCCGAGUUGUAAUUUGCAGAGGGGGCUUUGGCUUUGGCAGCGGUCCAAGUUCCUUGGAACAGGACGUCACAGAGGGUGAGAAUCCCGUACGUGGUCGCUGGCUAUUGCCGUGUAAAGCCGCUUCGACGAGUCGAGUUGUUUGGGAAUGCAGCUCUAAAUGGGAGGUACAUUUCUUCUAAAGCUAAAUAUUGGCCAGAGACCGAUAGCGCACAAGUAGAGUGAUCGAAAGAUGAAAAGCACUUUGGAAAGAGAGUCAAACAGCACGUGAAAUUGUUGAAAGGGAAGCGCUUGCAGCCAGACUUGCUUACAGUUGCUCAUCCGGGUUUCUACCCGGUGCACUCUUCUGUAGGCAGGCCAGCAUCAGUUUGGGCGGUAGGAUAAAGGUCUCUGUCACGUACCUCCUUUCGGGGAGGCCUUAUAGGGGAGACGACUUACUACCAGCCUGGACUGAGGUCCGCGCAUCUGCUAGGAUGCUGGCGUAAUGGCUGUAAGCGGCCCGUCUUGAAACACGGACCAAGGAGUCUAACAUCUAUGCGAGUGUUUGGGUGUCAAGCCCGAGCGCGUAAUGAAAGUGAACGGAGGUGGGAACCCGCAAGGGUGCACCAUCGACCGAUCCUGAUGUCUUCGGAGGGAUUUGAGUAAGAGCAUGGCUGUUGGGACCCGAAA